UACAGUGAAGUGAGUGGUGAUAGGGAGGUGCAGCGUACAAUGCUUGAAUUGCUUAAUCAACUUGAUGGCUUUAGUAGUGAUGACCGGAUCAAGGUGAUAGCAGCGACAAAUCAUGCUGACAUCCUUGACCCUGCUCUUAUGCGUUCCGGUCGAUUGGAUCGUAAAAUUGAGUUUCCACAUCCCACUGAAGAAGCAAGAGCUCGGAUUCUGCAGAUUCACUCUAGGAAGAUGAAUGUUCACCCGGACGUCAAUUUUGAAGAAUUAGCUUGCUCUACUGAUGAUUCAAUGGUGCACAACUAAAAGCAGUUUGUGUGGAGGCAGGCAUGCUGGCCCUUCGCCGUGAUGCAACUGAGAUGAGCCUGAUGAUUCCAUGCAUACAUUUACUGGUCAUACGGGUAAG